GGACCCGCACAAGCGGUGGAUGAUGUGGUUUAAUUCGAUGCAACGCGAAAAACCUUACCUACCCUUGACAUGCCUGGAACCCUGCAGAGAUGUGGGGGUGCUCGAAAGAGAACCAGGACACAGGUGCUGCAUGGCCGUCGUCAGCUCGUGUCGUGAGAUGUUGGGUUAAGUCCCGCAACGAGCGCAACCCUUAUCAUUAGUUGCUACGCAAGGGCACUCUAAUGAGACUGCCGGUGACAAACCGGAGGAAGGUGGGGAUGACGUCAGGUCAUCAUGGCCCUUAUGGGUAGGGCUACACACGUCAUACAAUGGCCGGUACAGAGGGCUGCCAACCCGCGAGGGGGAGCUAAUCUCAGAAAACCGGUCGUAGUCCGGAUCGCAGUCUGCAACUCGACUGCGUGAAGUCGGAAUCGCUAGUAAUCGCGGAUCAGCUUGCCGCGGUGAAUACGUUCCCGGGUCUU
rnacentral:rRNA from 1 species